rnacentral:lncRNA from 10 species
ACACACACACACACACACACACACACAUAUAUAUAUAUCUCACGACACUGCACUCCAACCUGGGCAGCAAGAGUGAAACUCCAUCUCAAAAAAAAAAAAAAAAAAAAGAAAGCCUCAAACUGAAAAUCGUAUAUAUAUAUGACUUUUUUUGUGUGUGUAUUUUAUCUGACUUUUCUAGUUCCUGACUGGAGUGUUGGUCAGUUAGAAGAAUGGAAGUCUCUAAGCGCUUUCAAAGUGCUUCUUUCCACUAGGUGCAGUGGCUCACGCUUGUAAUCCCAGCACUUUGGGAAGCCCAGGCAGGAGGAUUGCUUUAGGUCAGAAGUUUGAUACCAGCCUGGGCAACAGCAGGAAGGCCCUAUCUCUACCCAAAAAAAUUAAAAUUAGCCAGGUAUGAUGGUAUGUGUGGGUGUUUUCCCGCACUGACAAAUUAUUCAACAUCAGCUGGGUGUCCUACAAUUCGAUUCAAUUCUGACACUACAUGGAGUUAGCAUCAGAGCCCACAGGUUAAGUAAGGCUCAGUCCCACAAGAAUGUCCCCACUUCAAAUGCUAAUCGCAAGUCUGGCUCUCUGGUACUUCUGACCCACUGGCUAUGAAUCAGAGAUUCCCACAACCCUCUCCUUGGGUUCAGUAAUUUGUUAGGAUGGCUCAUAGAACUCAUGAAAACAGUUUACUUACUAGAUUGCUGGUUUAUUAUAAAAGGAAAGAACUCUAGAAUAGCCAGAUGGAAGACAUGCACAGGGCAAUUAAUAUUCUAAGUCCCCCAAAAGACUGAAUGAACCCUCCUCUCGGCCAAGGGGAUUCCAAACUAAACCUGAAAGACUAGUUCAGGUCAUGAUUGGAAGGGGUGUUUGGACAUGCUUCAUUAUACUGUCCUCCCUUUGGAAUUCAGGCACAUCUGACCAGUGUGAAAGGAAAAUAAAUCUUGGAUCGCCAAGUGAGUGUGAACCCAGAAAAUUUGAGACAGGUCUCAGUUAAUUUAGAAAGUGUAUUUUGCCAGGUUGAGAACACGUGCCUGUAACAACACAGCCUCAGGAGGUCCUGACAAUAUGUGCUCAAGGUGGUCAGAGCACAGUUUGGUUUUAUACAUUUUAGGGAGACAUGAGACAUCAAUCAGUAUGUGUAAGAUGUACAUUGGUUUGGUCCAGAAAGGUGGGACUACUCUAAGCAGGGGAGUGGACUUCCAGGUCAUAGGUAGAUAAGAGAUAACCAAUUACAUUCUUUUGAGUUUCUGAUUAGCCUUUCACUGAAGGCACAAUUUACAUGCAAGAGGAGGGUAGAGGAAUAGUCACGUAUGCCUUAGUCUGGCUCAGUGAAACAAUAUGGCGGGACAACUCGAAGCAGGGAGGGGCUUACAGGUCACAGGUAAACUAGAGACAAAUGGAUGCAUUCUUUUGAGUUUCUCAUGAAUGCAUCUCUAAAGGAGGCAAUCAGAUAUGCAUUUGUCUCAGUGAGCAGAGCAGUGACUUUGAUUAGAAUGGGAGGCAAGCUUGCCCCAAGCAGUUCCCAGCUUGACUUUUGCCUUUAGCUGAGUGAUUUGGGGGCCCAAGAUAUUUUCCUUUCACAUUUCCUCCCCUUUCUUUUUAAAAAUCUUUUAGAGAAAGCAUUUUAGAAAAAAAUGAGUCUCUUGUCUCAUGUUUUAUCUUAUCUCUCAUGGCUAGGAUGGUUUAUUUCUAGACGAGUAGGUCCUGAGUUAUUAGGAAAACUCAUUUUUAGAAGGUUGUGAAGUGUCAUGUCCCAUAAAGACAAAAUAGGGGGAGGAAGGGAGAACAACAACAAACAAAAGAACAAUCCUGGAAAAUUGCUAUAAGCCACAUUACUCUGAAGUCCAUACAUCGGUAGGCAGGUAUGAAAGUGGCUUAUGUAUGUAAAUAGGUUGCUGUUAUUUUUCUUCUGAAGUUGUCUAGAUUCAGUUUGCAGGGCUUUAUGAAAGCACAGCUUAGUUUUCAGUGACUCCAAAUUGGAAAAAAAUGGAAAAAAGAAGAAAAAAAUGAAAACAUUAUUUUGAAGACUUGUAGUCAAGAAAAAUUAGAAUUCGGUCCAAACUGUAGAAAAUAAUAAAAUUGAAAAACAUUAGGCAAGACAAGAAUCUAACAACAGGUGUGCUAUAGUUUUUGAAACAAUUUUUCUCUUUCCA